CUAACUACUAAACUUUUACGUAAAAUGAAACUUUUUGUCAUUUACUGAAUGUGUUAAAUUAUAAAACUGUGCAACAGUUUUAUAAUUUAAGACAAAUCUUAUAUGUUUAAUUAAAAAAGUAAAUAUUUUGAAAAUUAAUUUUGUCUAUAUAUAUAUUAGAUGUUCAAGAGAUCAGAGCCGAAGAGCUCUUGCCAACGGAAGUAAUGGACAAGCUAAAAAAAUUAGAAGAUUCUGUUGAGAAUCUAA